rnacentral:rRNA from 1 species
AUUGAACGCUGGCGGCAUGCCUAACACAUGCAAGUCGAACGGCAGCACGAUGUGUAGCAAUACACAUGGGUGGCGAGUGGCGGACGGGUGAGUAGAAAGUAGGGAUCUGCCUUAUAGAUUGGGAUAACUUGGGGAAACGUACGAGCUAAUAACCGGAUAAGCACUACGGUGGAAAGACAUGGGACCGGAAAGGCCAUGCGCUAUAAGAUGAACCUACGUCGGAUUAGCUAGUUGGUUAGGUAAAGGCUGACCAAGGCGAAGAUCCGUAGCUGGUCUGAGAGGAUGAUCAGCCACAC